rnacentral:rRNA from 1 species
UACGGAGGGGGCUAGCGUUGUUCGGAAUUACUGGGCGUAAAGCGCACGUAGGCGGCUUUACAAGUCAGAGGUGAAAGCCCGGGGCUCAACUCCGGAACUGCCUUUGAGACUGUAUCGCUUGAACAGCGGGAGAGGUGAGUGGAAUUCCGAGUGUAGAAGGUGAAAUUCGUAGAUAUUCGGAAGAACACCAGUGGCGAAGGCGGCUCGCUGGACAAGUAUUGACGCUGAGGUGCGAAAGCGUGGGAG